GAAACCUAGGAGAGGGCGGAAGGCAAACGGUGAUGGCCCUGGGGACUGCUGACGUGCCAGUGAUGCAUGCCAGCGCAGGCUGGGGGAGAGAAAAGGAUGCAUCUGGCCAAAGUGCCUUUCCAUCUCCGUCCCUCUGCGUGCGCUGUGGCAGCUGAAGGUCAAGCAGUGUUCGGGAUGGGCCUGGGAGAAGAGGAAGUGACAGCAAGCAGACACCUUGCUGGGACGUCCCACGAACUUUUUCCGAGAAGCUUUGUGGUCUCCUGGCGAAAGAGGGGAAAACACUCCUGACUCCCAGCAUUCAAACGAAGAGGGCCUCUGCACGGUUUCGCGGGGGAUGCAUCCCGGGAUGCUUGCCCUGGCUUGAUGCUGCUUCCUGAACGUUAUUCGGGAGAGGCUUCUGAGCCAGGCAGACCUUCGAUCUGACCCACGCGUCCUCACACCCUGCGGGGCAACGGCGUGCAAGAGCUGCCGUGUGCCAACGUACCUUUCCACAGCGAUGGCCACCAGGGUGAAAACAGAAGCCGAGACGGACAUCCCCUGCACCAGGCCGCUCAUCUUGCACAUGACGUUGUCAAAGGGCCAACCUGGAAUGACAGAGCGCGUCAGGUGGCUCCACGAAACGCCAACCCAGGGCUGCCCGUGGCUUGGCGAGGUGGGCCAAGAGGCUGUCACGGCUCAUGAUUUCCCUCAUCGGAAGUGCUCCAAGCUGGCAGAGGGAUCAUGAACCUGAGCUGACUACUUUUCUCUUCUCAAAGAAAACCAUAAUGAGAAGAGCAGCAAAAUUUUCCCUGGAGGAGGCAGGGGCUGCCUAACCCAUAUGUCGUGCAGAGCCUGUGGGAGAUGCUCAUUAA